UACGAAGGGUGCUAGCGUUGUUCGGAAUCACUGGGCGUAAAGCGCGCGUAGGCGGCUUUUCAAGUCAGAGGUGAAAUCCCCAGGCUCAACCUGGGAAUUGCCUUUGAAACUGUAAAGCUGGAGUGUCGGAGGGGAUAGCGGAAUUGCUAAUGUAGAGGUGAAAUUCGUAGAUAUUAGCAGGAACACCGGUGGCGAAGGCGGCUAUCUGGACGACAACUGACGCUGAGGCGCGAAAGCGUGGGGAUCAAACAGG
rnacentral:rRNA from 1 species